AUUAUUUUGCAUAUUGUGUGAUUGAGUUUAGUCUUCUAAAUCUCAUGUCUUCAAUUUGACAUGAUUUUAAGGUUUCUGGAAUUGAGUUCCAUCCUGGAGCCUAGUAGGCAGCCCAAAUAAGACAAAGUUGUAGUAUUAAGCGAUGCAGCUCGAGUGGUAAUCCAAUUGAGAAAUGAAGCUGAGAGGCUGAAGGAAAUGAAUGAUGAACUACAGGCAAAAGUUAACGAAUUGAAGGGUGAGAAGAAUGAGCUUCGUGAUGAGAACAAUAGGUUGAAAGAAGAGAAAGAAAAGUUGGAGCAGCAAGUAAAAGUGGCAAAUAUACAACCCAACUUUAGUUGAUGAUGCGUGAUUUUAGUUGGGCAAAUAUAAUUGCAGAAAUUAGAGGCAUGUAGGCAUCUAAUUGCUAGGUUUUAUCUUCAUUAUUCUCCGGAUAAGUUAAGGUAGAUAUUUGGUUUGAGUUGUGCCCAUCAUUAUAGAUGCUCUUAAUUAGGUUUGUAUUUUGUACCAUAUUAGAUUUAACCCGCUCCCCUCUAUUACUGAUGUUACCUUUUAUUUGUCAUAUUGAAUAGUUUUUUUUU